UACGUAGGGGGCAAGCGUUGUCCGGAUUUAUUGGGCGUAAAGAGCGUGUAGGCGGCCUUACAGGUCAGCUGUGAAAACUCGAGGCUCAACCUCGAGACGUCGGUUGAAACCGUAUGGCUAGAGUCCGGAAGAGGAGAGUGGAAUUCCCGGUGUAGCGGUGAAAUGCGCAGAUAUCGGGAAGAACACCCGUGGCGAAGGCGGCUCUCUGGGACGGUACUGACGCUGAGACGCGAAAGCGUGGGGAGCGAACAGGG
rnacentral:rRNA from 1 species